rnacentral:lncRNA from 1 species
AGGGGGGGGGGAGGCACCCUCUGGCAGGCGGCCCGGCGAGCCGCACAGAGCACGGCGAGCGCACGGCGCGGCUGCCGGCCCGCGCCCUUAACCCUUCUAUGCACCCGGGCUGGAGCGGCGCUCGCUCCAGGGGAGGCCGGGUUGUCUCUCCGCAACUGUGGCUCCGGAUCCCCGACACCGACCGGAGGGGACUGUGCCUUCCAGGUUUGAGAAAGGGGCGGGGAAGUUGGGGCGAUGAGGUCAUUGGAGUGGUGACCGAUCGGUGCUCGCGCGCCUCCCCGGCUCCCUGCAACCUAGUUGGAGGGGGACAGGGUGAGUGCAGGGUGCAACUCAGGCAACCUGGGAGACUCGCAGCGACGGGUGUCAGGAUUUGGCUCCUACUUGGUAAAAUACCCAAGGGGGCGGGGAAGUCGGCUGAUUUCUAAUUACGAAGUGCCCUUGGUGCCCCCCGGGUGAGCAUCUAAAGAGGACUCAUUGUAUCCUUACUGUUAACCCUCCAACCCGCCAGCCCUGCGUCAUCCGAGGCAAGGCCCGCGCCUGCUGCCUUGGCUUGCAACUCGGGAAAGUUCUCAGGCUUCCCCAGCUUGCACUGGCACCCUCACCUUUCCUGCCUGGACAAGCUGGCGACCUCCCGGUCCUCCUUUCAAAUUCUGCUGGUCUCGAAAUCUGCUGUGGGCAUGGAACGCCUCAGCUCUAGCUAGCCCUGGUAACCGACCUCACUCACUCCUCAGGGCUAACUGUGGAUCAUUCAUUUCAUCGCAAGCGAGGUAACCUGUGCACUGAGCAGUCAGUCGAUGGUGGUUCUCGGGGAAACCAAGCGAAGGAACGCUCCCCCACCCACCUUGUCCCGGUGGCUAAACGCAGACGUGGACUCCCCACCCGGCCCCCUCCGGCUACACCUCAGCCAAGCGUAAGCUCGAGGGAAGAACUCUUCUCUGGAGGCGUUCACCUUGCCAACAGGUGUGGCACCCGAAAGAAGAGCCAUCACAUCCCCACGAGGGUCGCUCAGUGCCGCGUUCUCUUUGCAGCAGAAAAUUCUUGAAGACCAGUAGGUGUCAGGCCAGCAUCUGACCUCUUUCAGGUGCUUAGAACUGAGAGUCUGGAAACUCGAUCCCUUGGUCUCGCUGGAAGCCACUACUAUUUAUUGACUCUAAGCCGGAUUUGAGAGACCUUUUGGCUCCGUUUACGUAUGACCCAACAAUUAGUCACUGUCUGAAGCAGCGUACAGAAUCACCAAGAGAAACGUGUGCGCGUUUAAACUACUGUAUUGUGGAGCCGGCACUUCAGAAGUUAAAUUAAAAAAAUAAUAAUAAAAUAAAAUAAAAGAGAUGCAGUGGUGUGUGUGUGUGUGUGUGUGUGUGUGUGUGUGUGUGUGUGUGUGUUUGUGGUGUAGGACACAUUAUCUAUUCUCAGGUUUUGAAAUACCGUGCACACAUCCACGGUUGCUUAAAUAGAACUACAACUGUUCCCUCUCACCGCCCCCCCCCGCCCCCACUCCCUAUAAACUGUGUUGUUCACUUGAGGAUCCGCGAUUAUUAGACUUCAUAUGCUAAAGUGACAUUGUUGGUCUCAUUACAGCCUCUAGUGGACGGUUAACGUUGAGUUUCCUGUCGGGGCUCUGUCUAGUUUUGUUUUCCCUCCUGAGCUUUAUCCAGGUGAAGGUUAACAGUUCAGAGCUUAACUGACUGGUGUCUUUUCGCUCCCUCUUGGUAAAGCUGUCUUUGAAAUGGAGCAGACGCUCGCUGGCUGCCUGUGGGAAAGGCGUCUGCUUUGUGCUACAGGUAUUGUUCCGGCUGGCCUGUGAAACCGACAAAGCUUCUGUUAUUCGCUUCACUUGCAGACAGCUUUCAUAUAAAAAAAAAAACAAAUUUAAUCUAAAAUAUUUUUAUAACAGAAAAUAUUGGUUGCCAUGUUUUUGGCAUAACUGAGAUGUUUUUAUUCCAGCUCAUAAUCUGUAAACUGUCCAAUCCACCUCCACUCUAUUUUUAGACAUCUUAUAUUUAGAGAAUUUUCAAGGGGAAAAAACCUCCUAAUAUUGUAAUUAUUACGUUGGUGCAAGCAGUUAAUUUGCAUUAUUUUAACAACCUUAAACAUAUUAAAACACAUAAUUCAUAUUAGACGUAGUCGAUUAAUUUAAAUGUUCCCUGAAGAAAGCUAAAUAUGUACAUUAUCCAUACAGUAAAAAUAAUUAAUAAGAAAUGUGUUGUUUACUUUCCUAACCAUUAAGAUUAAAGCCAUAAACACUC